CCUACGGGAGGCAGCAGUGAGGAAUAGUGGUCAAUGGGCGCGAGCCUGAACCAGCCAAGUAGCGUGAAGGAUGACUGCCCUACGGGUUGUAAACUUCUUUUAUAAAGGAAUAAAGUGAGGCACGUGUGCCUUUUUGUAUGUACUUUAUGAAUAAGGAUCGGCUAACUCCGUGCCAGCAGCCGCGGUAAGACGGAGGAUCCGAGCGUUAUCCGGAUUUCUUGGGUUUAAAGGGAGCGUAGAUGGGUUGUUAAGGCAGUUGUGACAGUUUGCGGCUCAACCGUAAAAUUGCAAUUGAUACUGGCAGUCUUGCGUACAGUUGCGGUAGGCUGACUUCUUGUUGUAGCGGU
rnacentral:rRNA from 1 species